UACGUAGGUGGCAAGCGUUGUCCGGAAUUAUUGGGCGUAAAGCGCGCGCAGGCGGUCCUUUAAGUCUGAUGUGAAAGCCCACGGCUCAACCGUGGAGGGUCAUUGGAAACUGGGGGACUUGAGUCCAGAAGAGGAAAGCGGAAUUCCACGUGUAGCGGUGAAAUGCGUAGAGAUGUGGAGGAACACCAGUGGCGAAGGCGGCUUUCUGGUCUGUAACUGACGCUGAGGCGCGAAAGCGUGGGGAGCAAACAGG
rnacentral:rRNA from 1 species